CUCUUACAGCUAAUCAGUGRAAUUGRUCCUCUCGUGCAAAAGCGAGARUACAAAUAUAAGACGAGAAGACCCUGUGGRACUUCAAAUAAACCAUCAAUUAACAUUAUACCCACCCCAAGGGCUCACAAAUCAUUUAAUACCUGAUGCAUAUUUUUGGUUGGGGCGACCUCGGAGUAAAACAAAACCUCCGAAAAAAAGAACAUAAUUCCAUACUUAGCCAAACAACUCAAAGUGCCCACAGCAAAAUGAUCCAAUCUAUUUGAUCAACGAACCAAGCUACCCCAGGGAUAACAGCGCAAUCCCGUCRCAGAGUUCUUAUCAACGACGGAGUUUACGACCUCGAUGUUGGAUCAGGACAUCCUAAUGGUGCAACAGCUAUUAAGGGUUCGUUUGUUCAACGAUURRRGUCCCACGUGAUCUGAGU
rnacentral:rRNA from 1 species